rnacentral:rRNA from 1 species
UACGUAGGGUCCGAGCGUUGUCCGGAAUCAUUGGGCGUAAAGCGCGUGUAGGCGGCCCGAUAAGUCCGCUGUGAAAGUCCAGGGCUCAACCCUGGGAUGCCGGUGGAUACUGUCGGGCUCGAGUCCGGAAGAGGCGAGUGGAAUUCCUGGUGUAGCGGUGAAAUGCGCAGAUAUCAGGAGGAACACCAAUGGCGAAGGCAGCUCGCUGGGACGUGACUGACGCUGAGACGCGAAAGCGUGGGGAGCAAACAGG